UCCCUUUCUCACUCUCUGGUUUCUCGUUCUCCCACACAGAUGAAGCAGAGAGACUUCAUUUAUAUCGAACCAUGAUUCUUCAUCUUACUAUUUUCUCUGUCACGAAAACAUCACCGGAGAACUCAACUCAGAAAAAACAACCCUAAACUUACCCGAAAUCAAUUGCCUAAUCUGCAAACCGAUUUUACAGAAUUCAAAUUAUCUUUGAAUAACCUGAUUUCGCAAACCCUAGAAAUUAGAUUCUGAGACUCUACGAAGAUUCAAGUAGAAGUGAUUUUUCAAGUUCUGAGAAGAAGAAUCAGUGUGGUUCAUUUCUUAGAAUCUCGUGGUAUGCUCAAGGAUGCGCCGGAGGUAGCUACUGAUCCAAAUUGCUAUUCAGCUUGGAAGACUAGAUGUUGCAAAGUCGGUUGUUGAUGUUUUUGACCCAAGAUCUUUGGUCGCUCCAUCUAUAUGCCACCCACUGGAUUUUCUCUCUCUCAAGGAAGAAGAGCUUUAUGAAAUCGAAAUUCCGCUAAGCUUUUGUUGACCUCUGUUGGCACUAGACUGCAUGGUUUGGUUUGUUGGUUUGACGAAAGGUACAUCUUUCUUUUCUUAUUAAGGAUGUGGAUUUGUGCAUUCUUGUUUCAUAUUCACUAUGUCGUGCAUGUUGCAUAUUCUUCUUGGGAAGGUUCUAUGAUGAGGUUUAUGCUAACAACUAAAGUGAAUAUCCUGUACUGUAAAACAAUGGCUUUCGACAGCCCGCAACCCACUGGUACCAACUCCAUUGUGUUUUAUCUCGGCCAAUUUAUGUCAUGGCUGGACAAGAGAUUACUGGAGCUCUUGGCAUGGUUGCUCACAGUGCUCAGAGUUAUCCCAUGUAGUUAUUAACUACGGUCAGGCACUGGAAUUUUCUUUACUCUCCUUUUAGUGUUGUCAGGGAUGGUGAAAACGUUAACCCUAACUCUGGAAUUUACAACUUUUUAAAGCUAAAAUGUGGGGUGCUGAACAAGGAGGAGUACUUCAAAUGUCUACAUGCAAACUUGAUCUGAAAGAGCUUUACUAUCCUCGAAUUGACCGACUUCCGGGAUUGAAUGGUUAUAGCCUUUCACACUCCCGACAGUAGUGAUGUCAUAUUUGGAGUGUUACAUAGUUGUUAGGUGGUCAAAAGCUGCAUUUAGGAAAUCAUGCGUUCUUUUUAGAGUUUGGUGCCUGACGCUAAAUCACAGAAAACGACGUCCUUCAAUAGUUGUAUUUUCUAGACGCUCCAAUUGUAAUUUUGCGAUCCUUUUGCUUUCUUGUUUGUCGAAAAAAAUAUAAAAAUUCUUUUAACCGCCUUUCUUUUCAAAUUUGCUUGAAUACUGUAGCUGUACAAUUUGUGUAGAUAUUAUAUUAUUUUAAUCUGCUGAA